AGAAAACAAGAGAGUCUAGGAGAGAGAGAAGGAAGGUAGUUGUUUAAAGCAUGUUUCGGAACCGAACAGAAUGAUGAUGAUCGAGUUAAUGGGACCUGCACCUUUCAGUUGAGAUGGAUGUAGCAAUCACCAACCAUUUCAAUUUGUCUAUUUCCUUCUUUCACUUGGGAGCAAAGCCUCUGUCACCAUCACUUACACCUUCUUCUUCCUUGUUCCGCUUUUCACGACCAUGAUCCUCUGCUUCACGCUUACUCUCGGAUCUCAGUCGCAGAUCCACCUUCAACGUUCACCACCUUUUCAAUCUUUCUCAUGGAUCCCUCUACUUCUCGUCCAGCUGUAGUCAUCGAUAAUGGCUCCGGUUAUACUAAGAUGGGGUUUGCUGGUAAUGUUGAGCCAUGUUUUAAUGUUCCGACAGUGGUUGCAAUUAACGAGUCCUUUCUUAAUCAAUCGAGGAAUUCCUCUAAAGGCAAUUGGGUUGCCCAGCACAAUGCUGGCGUAAUGGCAGAUCUUGAUUUCUUCAUUGGGGAUGAGGCCCUCUCCAAAUCUCGAUCUAGCAGCACUUAUAAUCUCAGCUACCCAAUUCAGCAUGGCCAGGUUGAGAAUUGGGAUGCCAUGGAGCGCUUCUGGCAGCAGUGCAUAUUCAACUAUUUGAGGUGUGAUCCAGAGGAUCACUAUUUUCUCUUGACGGAGAGUCCAUUGACUUCGCCAGAGAGUCGCGAGUAUACUGGGGAAAUCAUGUUUGAGACUUUUAACGUACCUGGACUUUACAUUGGUGUGAAUUCUGUGCUUGCUCUUGCAGCUGGUUACACAACAUCUAAGUGCGAGAUGACUGGAGUUGUAGUGGAUGUUGGAGAUGGGGCUGCUCAUGUUGUACCUGUUGCAGACGGCUAUGUUAUUGGCAGUAGCAUCAAAUCGAUUCCCAUUUCUGGAAAGGAUAUUACUCUUUUUGUGCAGCAGCUUAUGCGGGAAAGAGGAGAGAAUGUACCACCAGAAGACUCUUUUGAAGUGGCACGGAAAGUGAAGGAAAUGUAUUGCUACACCUGCUCUGACAUUGUGAAGGAAUUUAAUAAGCAUGACAAAGAGCCAGCCAAGUAUAUCAAGCACUGGAGAGGUAUUAAACCAAAGACGGGGGCACCAUAUUCCUGUGAUAUUGGCUAUGAACGAUUUCUUGGCCCUGAGAUUUUCUUUAAUCCUGAGAUAUAUGGCAGUGACUUUACCACCCCUUUGCCAGUUGUAAUAGACAAGUGCAUUCAGUCUGCGCCAAUUGACACAAGGAGAUCAUUAUACAAGAAUGUAGUGUUGUCUGGAGGUUCAACCAUGUUCAAGGAUUUUCACAGGAGGUUGCAACGUGAUCUAAAAAAAAUAGUGGAUGCUCGUGUCCUUUUAUCUGAAGCGCGCUUGAAUGGGGAGAUAAAAGUAAGAGUUAAUAGUCGCAGCCAGUGGAGGUAAAUGUACUCAGCAAUCCAAUCCAGAGAUAUGCAGUUUGGUUUGGAGGAUCAGUGCUUGCGUCAACACCUGAUUUUUUUACGGCUUGUCAUACAAAGGCAGAAUAUGAGGAGUAUGGAGCAAGCAUUUGCCGGACAAAUCCUGUUUUCAAGGGAAUGUAUUAAAUCAACAACAAAUUAGUUGAUUAUCGAUGCAGUUAUAUGAUAAGACUGUUGAAUGAAACAGCUGGUUAUCGUUAUCCUCAAUUCACUUCCUGGGCUUUCUUCCCACCUAUAUUCAGGGUGGCAGAAGUGAGUGUAAAAUAUGUGUAUUAAGUGAAAAUAUGCGUUUGUUUUUAUUCCAUUCCUAGGUAGUCAGUUUCACAGGGUUAAUACAGCUGUCAGCAGAUCCAGACGAUACUUAAUGGUUAGAUAGAAUUUGAUCUUUGACAAAGCUGGUUGAGCUGAAUUGCAAAUUUUGGGGUUCAGCUUAGAGUUUGAUGAAGUUCUGCAUUUUUUGUCAUUCAUUGAUGGGACUGAUAAUACCAUGAAGCACUUUUCUAGGUAGUAAGUUAAAUUCAUUUUGAUUGAAUUGUAAUAAGCACCAGUGCAGGUUAGAUUUAUGUUUACGCUAAAUCGUGAUUCAUAUAUUUUUGCACUUUUGGGUACAUAAUGUACAAUUGUAUUUUGUUUACUGAUGAUCAAAGCCAGAAAUAAUUUUUUUGCCA